CCUUUUCUCACAUUUCGCUGAUUUGUCGAUGAUUGACAAUUGACUCCGUGUUUCUAUUUCCUUAUCAAAUCAAGAAGUUACUCUUAAACCUUGGCUCCAUACAUCCAUCCAUUAUUCGGAAAUUUUCGGAAUUGAUCAUCUUCCGCGUUUUUCCAUCUUUAAACCAAUCAAGAAUCUGAACCACAAACCGGGAAUCAUUCUCCUUGCUGUUUUUCGGAAACUUCAACUUGUUUCCACAAGUUUUGAGACACAUAGAUGCUAUAAAAACCGAAGCUUCCCUCUCCGUUCCACCACUCGACCACCAUUCUAAACACACCUCUCACCUUUCCUCUGCCUCACGCAACACCUUUUCGCUUAACCGGAGCUCGUCGGAGUCGCACCGGAGAAACCACCGGAGUGAAACCUCACUCUCGAUACCACACCCACUUCCAUCCUCUCUCGUUGACUGGUACAAGAAACAAUUCGCCGGAGCUUCGUUGGAACAGAAGUGUUGCCGGAGUUCGAAGUGAUCGCUGGCGAAGAACCCGCAAACCACCGGAGCCCGACUACAAGUUGCCUGGAACCGGAAUUUACGUCGGAACUCGUUAGACAUCGUUCGGAUAAUCGCUUAUGUUCGUUCUCUUGGAUAUCUUACUCAUACGUUCUUACAAGAAAGCGCAACGCAAUCAAUGUUGAUAGUCAAGAUGAUGAAGGAAUCAAGUUAGGAUGGACUAGAUACCCAUUUUAGCAAUAAACUAUUUGUUUGAAUUUAUGUUUGAAUAUUCGAAACUUUGUAUUGCCCUUUAGAAUUUAAUAAAAUGAUUUAAUUCAUAUUGUCA